ensembl:lncRNA
GUUAGAUUCUGGAUAUAUUUUAAAGCUAGAGCCAACAGGACUUUCUGAAGAAUUCAAAACCAUGGCGGCGGGGAGGGAGAAGUGAAAGAAAGAGAGGAGCCAAGGAAGAUUCCAAGAUUCGUUGGCCUAAGGCGGUGGACAGACGGGGUUGCCAUUUACCGAGCAGGGUCCAAUUAAGAUGCCUGAAAGGAAAAUAACAUACCUGGGGCCAUCAUACCUAGCGAGAAACGCUGCGGAUGCACCCAGGAGGAAAAAUAGAGACUUCGCUGGAAGCCGUAGAGUUCCUCCUGCAAAACACUGCUCUGGUAUCGAUAGACUUACAAAUGUGUGUCAAAUGAUCUCACUAGAGGAAAUGCUCAGACAUUCAAAUUUGACGUCAAGCUGUCGAGGAACCCUUUGUGUUUGGCAUAGGUGCUGAGGCUGCAAAAGUUCUCCACAGAAGGCUCUGAUAGUGGCUGUUUUCCCUCAUUUGACUGAGCCUGUUUAAAUUCAGGACUAUACUUAGACAACUGUGUUUCCUAAUGGUAUUAGGUGUCAGAGUUCUAUAUUUUAAAAUUUAUUUAGUGUAAGAGGUGAUUUUUUUUAACUUCUAUAUGAGUCACACAGCUUUCGUCAGGAGUGGGGGAGCCACUCUUUCCAAAUGCAUCUCUGAGGAUAAUUUAUUCAAAGAAUGUCUCUUGACAUGUGAUUCCAGGUUUUUGGUGUUUGCUGUUUUCAAAUCACUUUUACUCAGCAAACACUUAGUAAAUUGUUGACUGUGCGAAGCUCAGUGUGAGGUGCUGUUUACAGGAUGUUAAUGACCUGGAAGUAAUUCACCUUGACAGAGGCCAACACCCUUUGAUUAUAAAAACUCUCAGAAAACUAGGACUAUAAGGGAACUCCUUCAACAUGAUAAAAGACAUUUAUAAAACAAUUAACCAAAAAGAGUCACAGCUAACAUUAUACUUAAUGCUAAAAGACUGAAAGCUUUCCCCAUAAAAUCAGGAAGAGGACAAGGAUCCCCACUUUUACCACUACUAUUCAACAUUGUUUUGGGAGUUCUAGCCAGAGCAAUUAGACAAGAAAAAUAAAAGGAUCCAAUUUGGAAAGGAAGAAAUAACCCUAUCUCUAUUCACAGAUGACAUGGUCCUCUAUAUCGAAAAUCCUAAAGAAUCCACAAGAAUACUGCUAGAGCUAAUAAGCAAAUUAGCAAAAGUGCAGGUGCUCCAUUUUUUGGUCAUAGUUUAGUACUUUAGUGUCCUUACUGAUUAAAUCUAAUGGCUUGUCCUCAGAGCAAGAUUUAAUGUUUUAAAAUGUGAAUAUGGAAGGUCUCUUAUUGUGUGAUCAGAAAUAAUUUCAUUUACUGCCCCCAUAUUCAGCUUCAUGUGUGAAAUUCUCAUGAUAUUAUUUUGGCAGUGGGUCAAAUUUUGGUUAAAUUCCAAACACUUAUAAAACUAGUAACACAUCAAGUUUCAUUAUGUCUGGGAAACAAUUCAUUUAUUAGGUGAUCUCCUGAGAGCAGAUGAUACUGCGUAAAAAAACUAGAGGGAGAAGAGUGAGGAUUGCCUGCAAAGUGGAGUCUGGUGGGAAGGACAGAGAGAUGACAGGGGCUUUAAAGGAAGGUGAAGAAAGAUGGGGCAGAGGAACAAAGUAAAAGAUACUGUAGACCUUGCCUAUUCGUUAUAAUAGCCGUGAGCGGCAUCUGACUAUUCAGAUUUAACUACAAUGAAAAAUUAAAUUCCUUAGUUGCAUUAGCCACAUUCCAAGUGUUUGGUUACUACAGGUGGCUGGGGACUACCAUAUUGGACAGCGUGGCUAUGGAACAUUUUUAUCCUUGCAGAGAAUCUGUGGGACAGGGCUGCUUUGUCCUAUUUCACUCAACAAUACAUAGUGAAUACAUUCUCUUGUCAAAACGAUCUCAAAUUCAGUGUUUAGUGAUUGAAUAGCAUUUGAUAUAUUAAUAGACCGUGAUUUUUAAAAAUCAAUCAUUACAAAAAUAGCUUUUUUGUAGCUUUUUAUCAUAAAUAGACCUAUGAUUUAAAAAAACCUUGUAGCAGAAUUUUUGUGCUCAUCUUAAC